AAAAAGCUCGUAGUUGGAUCUGGGUCGUAUGGCUAUGUACCGUCGCUCGUGAGCCUGGCUUGGUUACGACUGGGUCGAGUUCAUGGGUCGGUGUCGUGGCUGUGCAGCCUUUCUGCCGUGUCUGUCUCAGGACAGGUGUCGGCCUUAUCGGUGGGCUUGUCUCGUCGGUUGGUCGGCAUGUACUUUGAUGCCUUUGAACGGGUGUCGGGUGCGGACGGUGCGUUUACUUUGAACAAAUUUGAGUGCUCAAAGCAGGCUUGUGCCUGAAAAGUUUUGCAUGGAAUAAUGGAAUAGGACUUCGGUUCUAUUUUGUUGGUUUUCGGAUCCGAAGUAAUGGUUAAGAGGGACAGACGGGGGCAUUUGUAUGGCGGUGUUAGAGGUGAAAUUCUUGGAUCGCCGCCAGACAAACUACAGCGAAAGCAUUUGCCAAGGAUGUUUUCAUUGAUCUGGAGCGAAAGUCAGAGGUUCGAAGACGAUCAGAUACCGUCCUAGUUCUGACCAUAAACGAUGCCAACUGACGAUCCGUAGGCGCACUUUUAAUGGCCCUGCGGGCAGUCCCCGGGAAACCUUUAAGUUUUUGGGCUCCGGGGGAAGUAUGGUUGCAAAGCUGAAACUUAAAGGAAUUGACGGAAGGGCACCACCAGGAGUGGAGCCUGCGGCUUAAUUCGACUCAACACGGGAAAACUCACCCGGCCCGGACACUGUGAGGAUUGACAGAUUG
rnacentral:rRNA from 1 species